AAUAUUGGGACAUAUAAAAAAAGACAACUCUGUUCCGCAGAGUAGCUGUUGACAUUAUAGUUGCGCAGGCACUUUGUUGACGCUAGAGAACCUCGGGCCAAUCGCACAUCCCCAUGACGGCGACUUUGCAUUCGGAUGUCAUCCAUAUCAACUUUCGAUGCCAGUUUCUGUGCCUACCAUGGUGACCAUGGGUAACGGGGAAUCAGUGUUCCAUUCCGUACAGGGAACCUGAGAAACAGCUACCAAAUGCAAGGAAGGCAGCAGGCGCGCAAAUGACCCACACCCGACGCGGGAAGGUAGUGA